rnacentral:rRNA from 1 species
CAAAUUAAUAAAAAAUUUUGAUGAAUAUUUAUAUAAUAUUAACAUAAUUCAUAUUACUAUAUAUUUUAGUAUAUGAAAUUUUACUUUGAGAAAAUUAGAGUGCUUAAAGCAGGCAUAUGCCUUGAAUACUCCAGCAUGGAAUAAUAUUAAAGAUUUUUAUCUUUCUUAUUGGUUCUAAGAUAAGAAUAAUGAUUAAUAGGGACAGUUGGGGGCAUUUGUAUUUAACAGUCAGAGGUGAAAUUCUUAGAUUUGUUAAAGACAAACUAAUGCGAAAGCAUUUGCCAAGGAUGUUUUCAUUAAUCAAGAACGAAAGUUAGGGGAUCGAAGACGAUAAGAUACCGUCGUAGUCUUAACAAUAAU